rnacentral:sRNA from 1 species
UUAGUAUGUAUAUCAGCAAAAUCAGUUAUGCACAUAUAUGCCAUGCUAUAUUUGAAUCAACAAGGAGUGAUUUUUCCACCUACGACGACUUCAUUAGGGCCAUCCGGGAUGGAAUAAGGAGAGCCAAAAAUAAAAAUUAUAAGGAAAAAUCCAAAAAAAACAAAGAAAAUU